AUUAGGCCGAACUGCAUAAUUCUGGUUUAAUUUUUGUGUCUGAUACUAUAGGAAUGUUGUGAAGCAUUGACUUAGCAACAGGAGUAAAUGUUUGUUUUAAACGUGAUUUCCUUUCUUCAGCCUCUUUGGAAAUAUGCCUGCAUGAAGAAGCACUCUUGCAGUUUCUUCAGAAAAAUGGAUUAAGAAGUGGAGAGAGGCUGGAGCUAAAAGAAGAGAAGAAGAAAAAGAAAGAAGACUGCCCUGAUUGGAGA
rnacentral:lncRNA from 1 species